rnacentral:rRNA from 1 species
GACGAACGCUGGCGGCGUGCUUAACACAUGCAAGUCGAACGGAAAGGCCUGCUUUCCCUUGUGGAUUGCGGGUACUCGAGUGGCGAACGGGUGAGUAACACGUGAGUGAUCUGCCCCCAACUUGGGUAUAAGCCUGGGAAACUGGGUCUAAUUCCCGAUAGGACUGCAGGGUGGUGCCUGUGGUGGAAAACGAUUUUCUAGUGGUUGGGGAUGAGCUCGCGGCCUAUCAGGUUGUUGGUGGGGUAAUUGCCUACCAAGGCGGCGACGGGUAGCUGGCCUGGGAGGGCCGACGGGGACAUGGGACACGGCCCAGACCCCGGCGGGCGGCAGCAGUAGGGAGUGGUGAGUAAUGGACGAAAGUCGGACGGCGCAAGGAGCGGGGCGGGGUGAAGGUUGCCGGCGUGUGGGGGGCAGUUGCAAGAGGAGAGCGGGUGAGCGACCGGAAUGGACAGGCGGUGACGGUAGUGUAACAGAAAGCACCGGCUAACUACGUG